AAGGCUUGACAUAUAGGGAAAAGUGGCAGAGAUGUCAUGUCCGCAAGGGCUCUAUACAGGUGGUGCAUGGUUGUCGUCAGCUCGUGUCGUGAGAUGUUGGGUUAAGUCCCGCAACGAGCGCAACCCUCGUUCUGUGUUGCCAGCAUUUAGUUGGGGACUCACAGGAGACUGCCGGGGUUAACUCGGAGGAAGGUGGGGAUGACGUCAAAUCAUCAUGCCCCUUAUGUCUUGGGCUGCACGCAUGCUACAAUGGCCGGUACAGAGGGCUGCAAUACCGCAAGGUGGAGCGAAUCCCAAAAAGCCGGUCUCAGUUCGGAUUGAGGUCUGCAACUCGACCUCAUGAAGUUGGAGUUGCUAGUAAUCGAGAUCAGCAACGUACGGGAAC
rnacentral:rRNA from 1 species